GCACUGCCGCGGUUGUCGAUCGUUCAGCGAAGCCGGUGAGAAUCCGGCGCUGUCCCGCAACGGUGAUGCCUGUCACUUCCCGGCAGGCUCAGUCCGGUCGCCUGACGGUCGGCUCACAUCGACCCUCGAGGCAAGGGGCCGGGUGACAG
rnacentral:sRNA from 2 species